CUCCUACGGGGGGCAGCAGCUAAGAAUCUUCCGCAAUGGGCGAAAGCCUGACGGAGCGACGCCGCGUGAACGAAGAAGGCCGUGAGGUUGUAAAGUUCUUUUCGGGAGGGGGAACAACCGUGGCAGGGAAUGGCCGCGGGAUGACGUGAAUCCCGGAAUAAGCCCCGGCUAACUACGUGCCAGCAGCCGCGGUAACACGUAGGGGGCGAGCGUUGUUCGGAAUCAUUGGGCGUAAAGGGCGUGAGGCGGUAGUGCAAGGCCGGCGUGAAAGGCCCCGGCCCAACCGGGGGGACGCGCUGGAAACUGCAGGGCUUGAGUACAGGAGGGGAUGCCGGAAUUCCAGGUGUAGGGGUGAAAUCUGUAGAUAUCUGGAAGAACACCAAUGGCGAAGGCAGGCAUCUGGCCAUGUACUGACGCUGAGACGCGAAGGUGCGGGGAGCAAACAGGAUUAGAUACCCUAGUAGUCA
rnacentral:rRNA from 1 species